GACGUAGGUGGCGAACGUUAUCCGGAAUUAUUGGGCGUAAAGGAUGCGUAGAUGGUGUAGUAAGUUAUCGGUGGCAAAUCGAGGCUCAACCUCGUGGAAGUCGGUAAUACUGCUAUGCUAGAGGAUAGGAGAGGUUAACGGAACUCCCUGUGGAGCGGUAAAAUGCGUAGAUAUAGGGAAGAACACCAAUAGGCGAAGGCAGUUAACUAUUCUAUUCCUGACAUUGAGGCAUGAAAGCGUGGGAGCAAAACGGG
rnacentral:rRNA from 1 species